rnacentral:rRNA from 1 species
UACGUAGGGUGCAAGCGUUAAUCGGAAUUACUGGGCGUAAAGCGUGCGCAGGCGGUUAUGUAAGACAGAUGUGAAAUGCCCGGGCUUAACCUGGGAACUGCAUUUGUGACUGCAUGGCUAGAGUUUGGCAGAGGGGGGUAGAAUUCCACGUGUAGCAGUGAAAUGCGUAGAUAUGUGGAGGAACACCGAUGGCGAAGGCAGCCCCCUGGGUCAAGACUGACGCUCAUGCACGAAAGCGUGGGGAGCAAAACAGG